GACGGAGGGUGCAAGCGUUGUUCGGAAUCAUUGGGCGUAAAGAGAGCGUAGGCGGCUUGGUAAGUCGGGUGUGAAAGCCCGGGGCUCAACCCCGGAAAUGCGCCCGAUACUGCUGAGCUUGAAUACGGGAGAGGGUUGCGGAAUUGUCGGUGUAGAGGUGAAAUUCGUAGAUAUCGGCAAGAACAUCAGUGGCGAAGGCGGCAACCUGGACCGAUAUUGACGCUGAGGCUCGAAAGCGUGGGGAGCAAACAGG
rnacentral:rRNA from 1 species